AGUGGACGCUGGCGGUAGGCCUAACACAUGCAAGUCGAACGGCAGCACAGUAAGAGCUUGCUCUUACGGGUGGCGAGUGGCGGACGGGUGAGGAAUACAUCGGAAUCUACUUUUUCGUGGGGGAUAACGUAGGGAAACUUACGCUAAUACCGCAUACGACCUACGGGUGAAAGCAGGGGAUCUUCGGACCUUGCGCGAUUGAAUGAGCCGAUGUCGGAUUAGCUAGUUGGCGGGGUAAAGGCCCACCAAGGCGACGAUCCGUAGCUGGUCUGAGAGGAUGAUCAGCCACACUGGAACUGAGACACGGUCCAGACUCCUACGGGAGGCAGCAGUGGGGAAUAUUGGACAAUGGGCGCAAGCCUGAUCCAGCCAUACCGCGUGGGUGAAGAAGGCCUUCGGGUUGUAAAGCCCUUUUGUUGGGAAAGAAAAGCGGCAGGUUAAUACCCCGCUGUUCUGACGGUACCCAAAGAAUAAGCACCGGCUAACUUCGUG
rnacentral:rRNA from 1 species